rnacentral:rRNA from 1 species
GCGGGCUCUCGCUGCGCUCGAGCCAGCCGUUUCAGUUCCCCCCGCCGCCGCAAUGGGGCGGGCCCGGACACUCUUGGGAUUGACAGAUUGAGAGCUCUUUCUUGAUUCGGUGGGUGGUGGUGCAUGGCCGUUCUUAGUUGGUGGAGCGAUUUGUCUGGUUAAUUCCCAUAACCAACGAGACUCUAGCCUACUAACUAGAUGGAGGAUCCCUUCGUGGGUUCUUCACUGCUUCUUAGAGGGACGGGCGGCGUUUAGCCCCACGAGAUUGAGCAAUAACAAGUCUGUGAUGCCCUUAGAUGUUCUGGGCUGCACGCGCGCUACACUGAAGGAAUCAGCGUGUCCUCCCCGCUCUGAAAAGAGUGGGUAACCCGUUGAAACUCCUUCCUGAUGGGGAUUGGAGAUUGUAAUUAUUCUCCUUGAACAAGGAAUUCCCAAUAAGCCCGAGUCAUCAGCUUGCGUCGAUUACGUCCCUGCCCUUUGUACACACCGCCCGUCGCUACUACCGAUCGAGUGAUUUAA